rnacentral:piRNA from 1 species
UCGAUUUUCAUAUAUCUUACA